UCCGGUUUGUCACCGGCAGUCACCUUAGAGUGCCCAACUGAAUGCUGGCAACUAAGAUCAAGGGUUGCGCUCGUUGCGCCACUUAAGGCAACACCUCACGGCACGAGCUGACGACGACCAUGCAGCACCUGUGCGGGCUCCCGUAGGAGGACCGGGUUUCCACGGCUUCACCCCGCAUGUCAAGCCCUGGUAAGGUUCUUCGCGUCGCUUCGGAUUAAGCCACAUGCUCCGCCGCUUGUGCGGGCCCCCGUCAAUUCCUUUGGGUUUUAGCCUUGCGGCCGUACUCCCCAGGCGGGAUGCUUAAAGCGUUAGCUGCGCCACUGACGAGCAAGCUCGCCAACGGCUAGCAUCCAUCGUUUACGGCGUGGACUAC
rnacentral:misc_RNA from 1 species